rnacentral:rRNA from 1 species
CUGGCGGGAACUGCCGGUGACAAACCGGAGGAAAGGUGGGGAUGACGUCAAGUCAUCAUGGCCCUUAUGUCCAGGGCUACACACGUGCUACAAUGGGUGAGACAGAGUGACGCGAAGCCGCGAGGUGGAGCAAAUCGCAGAAAAUCAUCCGUAGUUCGGAUUGGAGUCUGAAACCCGACUCCAUGAAGGUGGAAUCGCUAGUAAUCGCGCAUCAGCAUGGCCGCGGUCGAAUACGUUCCCGGGCCUU